rnacentral:rRNA from 1 species
UACGUAGGGUGCGAGCGUUGUCCGGAAUUACUGGGCGUAAGGGCGCGUAGGCGGCCAACCGCGAAGUCAGUUGUGAAAUCUCUGGGCUUAACCCAGAACGGUCAGCUGGAUACUGCGGGGCUAGAGUGCAGAAGGGGCAACUGGAAUUCUACGGUGUAGCGGUGAAAUGCGUAGAUAUCGAGAGGAACACCUGCGGCGAAGGCGGGUGCUGGGCUGACACUGACGCUGGACAGCGGCGAAAGCUAGGGGAGCGAACGGG